rnacentral:rRNA from 1 species
AUUGAACGCUGGCGGCAGGCCUAACACAUGCAAGUCGAGCGGUAGCACAGAGAGCUUGCUCUCGGGUGACGAGCGGCGGACGGGUGAGUAAUGUCUGGGAAACUGCCUGAUGGAGGGAGAUAACUACUGGAAACGGUAGCUAAUACCGCAUAACGUCGCAGGACCAAAGUGGGGGACCUUCGGGCCUCAUGCCAUCAGAUGUGCCCAGAUGGGAUUAGCUGGUAGGUGGGGUAACGGCUCACCUAGGCGACGAUCCCUAGCUGGUCUGAGAGGAUGACCAGCCACACUGGAACUGAGACACGGUCCAGACUCCUACGGGAGGCAGCAGUGGGGAAUAUUGCACAAUGGGCGCAAGCCUGAUGCAGCCAUGCCGCGUGUGUGAAGAAGGCCUUCGGGUUGUAAAGCACUUUCAGCGGGGAGGAAGGCAUUAAGGUUAAUAACCUUAGUGAUUGACGUUACCCGCAGAAGAAGCACCGGCUAACUCCGUGCCAGCAGCCGCCGCCG